rnacentral:sRNA from 1 species
GCCGGGCUUGGUGUCGCAUGCCUAUAAUCCUAGCAACUUGGGAGGCUGAGGCAGGAGGAUCACAAAUUUAAGGAGAGCCUCAGCAAUUUAGCAAGGCCCUAAGCAAAUUCAUGAGACCCUGUCCCAA